GAUGAACGCUGGCGGCGUGCCUAAUACAUGCGAGUCGAGCGAACGGACGAGAAGCUUGCUUCUCUGAUGUUAGCGGCGGACGGGUGAGUAACACGUGGAUAACCUACCUAUAAGACUGGGAUAACUUCGGGAAACCGGAGCUAAUACCGGAUAAUAUUUUGAACCGCAUGGUUCAAAAGUGAAAGACGGUCUUGCUGUCACUUAUAGAUGGAUCCGCGCUGCAUUAGCUAGUUGGUAAGGUAACGGCUUACCAAGGCAACGAUGCAUAGCCGACCUGAGGGGGUGAUCGGCCACACUGGAACUGAGACACGGUCCAGACUCCUACGUGAGGCAGCAGUAGGGAAUCUUCCGCAAUGGGCGAAAGCCUGACGGAGCAACGCCGCGUGAGUGAUGAAGGUCUUCGGAUCGUAAAACUCUGUUAUUAGGGAAGAACGUAUGUGUAAGUAACUGUGCACAUCUUGACGGUACCUAAUCAGAAAGCCACGGCUAACUACGUG
rnacentral:rRNA from 1 species